AUUGAACGCUGGCGGCAGGCCUAACACAUGCAAGUCGAACGAGUGGCGGACGGGUGAGUAAUGUCUGGGAAACUGCCCGAUGGAGGGGGAUAACUACUGGAAACGGUAGCUAAUACCGCAUACAAUCGGAUGUGCCCAGAUGGGAUUAGCUUGUAGGUGAGGGAACGGCUCAACUAGUCGACGAUCCCUAGCUGGUCUGCGAGGAUGACCAGCCAGAGUGGAACUGAGCAACGGUCCAGAGUCCUAGGGGAGGUAGCAGGGGGGAAUAUUGCACAAUGGGUGCAAGUCUGAUGCAGCCAUGCCGCGUGUAGGAAUAAGGCCUUCGGGUUUUAAAGUACUUGCGGCGGGGAGGCGUUACCCGCAGAAGCAGCACCGGCUAACUCCGUGCCAGCUGCGGCGGUAAUAC
rnacentral:rRNA from 1 species